UAAGGAAUAUUGGUCAAUGGGGGCAACCCUGAACCAGCCAUGCCGCGUGCAGGAUGAAGGCCCUAUGGGUCGUAAACUGCUUUUAUACCGGAGAAAACCCGAGUACGUGUACUCGGUUGAUAGUAUGGUAAGAAUAAGCAUCGGCUAACUUCGUGCCAGCAGCCGCGGUAAGACGAAGGAUGCAAGCGUUAUCCGGAUUCAUUGGGUUUAAAGGGUGCGUAGGCGGACUUGUAAGUCAGUGGUGAAAUCUCUUUGCUUAACAAAGAAACUGCCAUUGAUACUGCAGGUCUAGAGUAUAGAUGACGUUGGCGGAAUAUGACAUGUAGUGGUGAAAUACUUAGAUAUGUCAUAGAACACCGAUUGCGAAGGCAGCUAACGAAACUAUAACUGACGCUGAGGCACGAAAGUGCGGGGAUCAAACAGGAUUAGAUACCCCAGUAGUCCCUGAGCGGGCUGGCAAGGCGCAU
rnacentral:rRNA from 1 species